ACUGAUAUGUUACAAAUUUAUUAUUAUUUGUACAGUGCAAUCUGUACAGCAUAUACAAUUCAUGUACAUUUGAACACAUUUAUUAUGUACACAAUGAGGGAUAAACCAGCUAAUAUCAACAGCGAUCAUCAAACCUACUAACAAAGCUUGUCGUAUCGACCCUCAUCUUGUCAUGAAUGUAUGCAAUAUUUCCUACACAUUUAAUUGUCAACAAACAACUUAGUUCAACAAGGAAGGAACCUUAAUACUUUUGAUACUUCAAUGUUUAAUGAACAUCAUCUUUUUUCAAGAAAGUAAGGGCAUAUCAUAUGCUAUAAUAUUGUAGUAAAAUAAUAAUUGUAAAAAAUAAUGAAGUAUAAUCUUUUAUAAUAACAGAGACACCACUCUGACUAGAGAUAUUGUGAUAUAACUUGACAAAUUCCUUCCCCCACCCCCAGCCUGAAAAUGAUGUUGGCCAAUUAUCAAAGAGAUUUCUCAAACAGAGGAUUUGCUGUUCUUUCAUCAUCAUCAUCAUUUAAGACCUUUUUAAUUUAAAAAUUUGAAACUAGGAUCAUAUUACAUCUUUAUACUUUUCGUGGAAACUCAUCAAACUGUCUCAUAUAAAUAAACAGUGUGUUUUCUGUUUUAAAAAUAACAACUUACACCGAACUGGUUUUAUUUCAAUGAUGCAUCUGGUUUCUGAAUGUUAACCUCAAUAUUUCUAUGGGUUUUUGCAUUGUUGGGUUGUUGUCUCAUUGACAUACAUCACACACAUAUUUUUAUUCACAUUUUGGAGUUCCUCUAGUUUUCUAACUUCAAUGUCAAUAAAACAAAAGUAUGAAAUUAUGUUUAAGACUAAAAUUUAAUAAAAUAUUUGCUCCAAAAACUCAAUGUUAUAUAAAAAAAAGUCUAUUCAUUUUAAUUGUAUUUCACAGUUUUAUGUAAAACAAUAGGAAAAUGCCCACUUCAAUAUUACUUAGUCCUUCACUUAUAAAACCUCAAUGUUCAAACAAUGUGUGUGUGUAUAUAUGCAAAGAAUAGCAGCACUAAAUGUAUAACACCAAGAACCAUUUGCAUACUAACCAAUUUUUUCCCCCAGUUGUUGAAUAAAUUAAACAUUUGUCCAGAGCAUUCAAAAUGUUUUUGGUGUUGAAUUUAACAUUGCCCAGAUAAAUAAAGGCAUUUCUAUUUUAAAGUCACCUGACUCGUAUGUUUCCUAUGACCAAAAAAAAUACUGAUUUCAGCACCUUACAAUGUAUUUAAAUAGCACUAGGGAAAAUUUGUAAUUAUUUCACAUGACCAAGAAAUUGGUUAACACAUAAAUGGUAACUUAUAUAAUGUACAUAAUUUGAGUUAGACAGCUGAAUGUUUGCAGUUUAAAUAAUAAAUGUCUGAAAAGCAACCAAGGACUAAAAAAACAAAAGUCAAGAACAAAGAACACAUCACUAACACAUAAUAUGUAAUGAUAUAUAUUCUUCUCCAACAAACAGCCCUUACUCACAAUAUAAUAGUCACUUAAUUGUAACAAUAUAUAUAUAUACAAAAUCUUGUCAACAAACACCAAGCACUUGUUAUAUAUGAAAAAAUUUACAUGCCAUGAUAUUUAUGGGUCUUUCUAUAUUAUCUUCAAAAUUUAUCAUCUAAACAAUAAAUAAAUGUAUCAAUUACUCAUCCAUAUAAAUGAUUAAGAUAUAGUUUUUUAUUCUUCGUAAUGAGAUGGUUUUUUUGAAUAAAUGCAAAAGAAUGGAGCGCUUUUCUAUAGAAUUUCUAAUAUUUUUUAUAUGGAAAACUGAAUUACAAAAGAAGAUAAAAUUACAAAUCUGUUAUCCUGAUUUUCAAAAAAAUCGUCCUGAGAAAAUUUAUGAACGAAUUACUUAAAAACAUGUUUGUGUAUGAUUCAAUUUAUAAAUUUCAUUGAAAAAAAGAAGAACUUAACCACUAUUUGACUUGAACAGGAAAUCCUAUAUGGAUCUAAUAAAUCUAAACAGAUAUCAUGCAUAAGCGUACAUUCAACUGAUUCAUGAGCUGAAAAAAGCAGACAUGAAAAUCUGACGGAUGAUGAAGUACAGCAGUGACCAUUUUGACAUAAAAGAAAAUUUUAAUUUGAAUAUUCAAAUUUCCACUGCAUCUGUUUAAAACAACUAAGAAGCAUUCUUGUUUGAUAGAAUUUGAAUUCACUAAAUUGACUAACAGUUUUAAAAACACAACCAUAACAAAACGUCUAUUUCCUAUCUAACUAACAUAUGGUGCAAUUAAAAGAUCUUCGCCAAGACUCCUAACUCUUUUAAUAAUAAGCUAUAAAAAUAUGCUAAGGAACAAAUGGCAUAAUUUCAUUGCAAGUUUGAAACAAGGUUAGAAAACAACAAUUUCAUUGGAAAUAAAUGUUGGGUAGAAAAAUAUAUGUUUAUUAACAUCAGUAACAAUCUGAAAAUCUCUGUGUUGGUCAUAAUUCAUGUAAUUCUUGGUAAGCGCUGGCCACAUGGACAUCUUCAG
rnacentral:lncRNA from 1 species